UGGGGAAUUUUGGACAAUGGGCGCAAGCCUGAUCCAGCCAUGCCGCGUGUCUGAAGAAGGCCUUCGGGUUGUAAAGGACUUUUGUCAGGGAAGAAAAGGCUGUUGCUAAUAUCGACAGCUGAUGACGGUACCUGAAGAAUAAGCACCGGCUAACUACGUGCCAGCAGCCGCGGUAAUACGUAGGGUGCGAGCGUUAAUCGGAAUUACUGGGCGUAAAGCGAGCGCAGACGGUUACUUAAGCAGGAUGUGAAAUCCCCGGGCUCAACCUGGGAACUGCGUUCUGAACUGGGUGACUAGAGUGUGUCAGAGGGAGGUAGAAUUCCACGUGUAGCAGUGAAAUGCGUAGAGAUGUGGAGGAAUACCGAUGGCGAAGGCAGCCUCCUGGGAUAACACUGACGUUCAUGCUCGAAAGCGUGGGUAGCAAACAGGAUUAGAUACCCUGGUAGUCCACGCCCUAAACGAUGUCAAUUAGCUGUUGGGCAACUUGAUUGCUUAGUAGCGUAACUAACGCGUGAAAUUGACCGCCUGGGGAGUACGGUCGCAAGAUU
rnacentral:rRNA from 1 species